rnacentral:rRNA from 1 species
AAUGUCAGUGGACCUGAGUUCACUCGGGGGGACUGUGUACGGCUCAUUAAACGGUCUAUCGUCUACCCAACAGAGUGUACAUUCGUGUACGCCGACGGGAUAACUGCUCCGAAACGGGCAGCUAAUACCUGAAAGACAAAUUCUACAACAUUCCACUGUGCUUGGGGAAACCUGGGUGCAGGUUGUAGGAUGCUAUUGGCCGGAACAAAGACCAACGCCCUCACGGCGCAGUUGCAAUUGUUGACGCAGGCCAAUGUAGCAGAAGCACCUUUGGUGCGUUGUUGGACGAAUUUACCACCUAUCAGGUUGAAGGUAGUAUAGUUGACUACCUUGCCAGUGACGGGUAACGGAGAAUUGGGGUUCGAUUCCGGAGAGGGUGCCUGAGAAACGGCAACCAUCACUACGGUGAGCAGCAGGCGCGCAAAUUGCCCAAUGCUAACACAUGGCGAGGCAGCGACGAAAAAUAGUAUUCCUGCGGCAUUGUACAUCAGAGAUUGUAAUGGAUUGUAUCCAGUACACACUGCUGAGUAUCAAUUGGAGGGCAAGUCUGGUGCCAGCAGCCGCGGUAAUUCCAGCUCCAAGAGCGUAUAUAAAUGUUGUUGCGGUUAAAAAGCCCGUAGUUGGAUUUGAGAGUCGAGCUAGUGGAAGUCCUCUGAGGCUUUCGGGCUGAUGGGGUAACUUGCACGUUACAGCAAGACUCUGAGACUUGCGGGAUCGUCCACUGGCUGAAGGGGCAUUAAGUUGUCCUGGAAGCAACUUCGGAGCGAUUACACUCCACCAGGUGCGCCCGCAGCCGUCACUGUGAAUAAAACAGAGUGUUCAAGGCAACCAUUAACGUGGUUGAAUGUUAAAGCAUGGAAUGACAAGGGAUCGACCUACGGGCCUCUUUUUGUUGGUACUUUAAGCCUUGUUAGGGGAAUUUUGCUUAUGGAAUUCACUGCGUUCAGCCUCGGUUGGCGUAGUGGUCCGUUUGCGCCCGGGAUCAAUAGGAGCACAGGGGGCCAUGAGUACUGGCGGGCUAGUGGUGAAAUACUGAGACCCCUCCAAGACCGACAUCAGCGAAAGCACUUGGCUAUUGUGCUUUCAUUAAUCAAGGACGAGAGAUCGGGGAUUGAAGAGGAUUAGACACCCUCGUAAUCCGGUCUGUAAAUUCUGCAGACUUGGGAUCGGUCAGUGCUCUCUUCUUAGACCUGAUCGGCACCUUACUCCUCUAUCGAGAAAUCAAAGUUUUUGUGUUCCGGGGGGAGUAUAUUCGCAAGGCUGAAACUUAAAGGAAUUGACGGAGAACCACCACCAGUCGUGGAGUGUGUGGCUUAAUUCGACUCAACACGGGAAAUUUUACCAGGCCAGGAGGUGGUAAGGAUUGCCAGAUUGAUAGCUCUUGCAUGAUUCCGCUGAGGGUGGUGCAUGGCCGCUUCUGGUUGGUGAAGUGAUUUGUCUGCUUAAUUGCGUUAACGAACGAGAUCUCUGCCAAUUACUAGAUGCCUGUGUCGUUUAGGUUCCGGUGGCUCAUCUUUUUGUGUCGCCGUGUUUCUUUUUGACGCUGAGACGCAGGACUUUUACUUAUUGGGAUUAUGCAUUCUCAACUGCAUUGAAACAAGAGCCCAAAGCAGGUCUGUGAUGCUCCUAUAUGUUCUGGGCUGCACGCGCACUACACUGAUUCAGCCAACGAGCUUCUGCCGAUCUCGGCAGCCUGGUUGCGAAGGCAUUGGGGAAUCUUUUGAGCCUGAGUCGUGAUGGGGAUUGAUGCUUGUAAUUAUUCUCCAUGAACGAGGAAUGUCUUGUAUCCGCGUUUCAUCAGAACGCAGAGAAUACGUCCCUGGUUCUUGUACACACCGCCCGUCGUUGCCUGUGAUGGAUUGGGAGUAGAGCCAUCUGGAGGUGGGCUGCGGAGCGAUUCAAGGCCUUGCCGAAAUUUGUCAAUACUUUCUGUCUAGAAGAGGCAAAAGUCGUAACAAGGUACUU